ACACGGAGGGCGCAAGCGUUGCUCGGAAUCACUGGGCGUAAAGCGGGUGUAGGCGGUCUAGCAAGUCAGAUGUGAAAGCCCACGGCUCAACCGUGGAAGUGCAUCUGAAACUGCUAGACUUGAGUGCCGGAGAGGGAAGUGGAAUUCCUGGUGUAGGGGUGAAAUCCGUAGAUAUCAGGAGGAACACCGGUGGCGAAGGCGACUUCCUGGACGGCCACUGACGCUGAGACCCGAAAGCGUGGGGAGCAAACAGGAUUAGAUACCCCAGUAGUCC
rnacentral:rRNA from 1 species